rnacentral:rRNA from 1 species
GACGAACGCUGGCGGCGUGCUUAACACAUGCAAGUCGAACGGAAAGGCCCUGCUUUUGUGGGGUGCUCGAGUGGCGAACGGGUGAGUAGCACGUGAGUAACCUGCCCUUGACUUUGGGAUAACUUCAGGAAACUGGGGCUAAUACCGGAUAGGAGCUCCUGCUGCAUGGUGGGGGUUGGAAAGUUUCGGCGGUUGGGGAUGGACUCGCGGCUUAUCAGCUUGUUGGUGGGGUAGUGGCUUACCAAGGCUUUGACGGGUAGCCGGCCUGAGAGGGUGACCGGCCACAUUGGGACUGAGAUGCGGCCCAGACUCCUACGGGAGGCAGCAGUGGGGAAUAUUGCACAAUGGGCGGAAGCCUGAUGCAGCAACGCCGCGUGCGGGAUGACGGCCUUCGGGUUGUAAACCGCUUUCGCCUGUGACGAAGCGUGAGUGACGGUAAUGGGUAAAGAAGCACCGGCUAACUACGUG